GAAAAGCAGAAGAGCACAUGCACAGAUUUUAUGAGGCAGACAAAAGUAAUCUUCCUGUUUUAGAAAUGUUNUGGUUUUACAGGCUCUACUCUACAAUGUGAAGUUUGCACAGGUCUAGGCCACAACUGCACUGGUGAAAUGGAAGCUUGCCCCGCAGGUCAUGAUUUUUGUGGCAUCACUUUGUUUGAAAGUGAACAAGGAGAUGUUAAGGUUCAAGGUAUUGUUAAGAACUGUGUUCCAUCUAAUGUCUGUGAAAAUGCUUCUGCUGAUAUUAACUUGGGUAAAAGAAGAAGAUCAAGAACCCGUGUUUUCUGCUGUAAGGGUGAUUCCUGUAAUAACUCUCCUUCCAAAUUGCCGCUUUUAGAUACAAAACUCAAUGGCUUUCGAUGCCCAGCCUGCUAUGCGUCAACUUCCACCUUGUGUGACAAUGAAACUGUUGAUU
rnacentral:lncRNA from 1 species